rnacentral:misc_RNA from 1 species
GAUGAAGAACGUAGCGAAAUGCGAUAAGUAAUGUGAAUUGCAGAAUUCAGUGAAUCAUCGAAUCUUUGAACGCACAUUGCGCCCCUUGGUAUUCCGAGGGGCAUGCCUGUUCGAGCGUCAUUAUAACCCCUCAAGCUCAGCUUGGUGUUGGGGCCUGCUGCACUGGCAGCCCUUAAAAUCAGUGGCGGCGCCAUCUGGCUCUAAGCGUAGUAAUUCUUCUCGCUAUGGAGUCCUGGUGGAUGCUUGCCAUCAACCCCCAAUUUUUCUAUGGUUGACCUCGGAUCAGGUAGGGAUACCCGCUGUACUUAAGCAUAUCAAUAAGCGGAGGA